UUCCCGCCGCCUCCUUUGUGUGCCAGCGGCCGCCGCGUCCCCGCGCCCGCACUCCGGGGCGCCCCCGCUCCCGCCGCCGUCCCGCCGAGGCCGCCCCCCGCGGGUCCCCGUCCCGGGGCUGCGCCCAGAAGAGCCGGGAGACGCGCCGACCCCGAGUUGCGGCACCAGCCCGGCCUGGGCUGCACAGACCUGGGAAUCCGGCCCUUCCCAGCCGGUUACUACAGCCGAUGGGACCUCGUGCGCCGCAGAGAAGCACAGACCCCAGAGGCCGGCGGCAAAUUACCGUCCUGCUCCCAGCUGUAUGACCCAGAUCUCCUGCAUGCGGCCCGCCUUUGCAUCAGCUUAGUUUUAAUGUAUGCUCCCAGAAAGGAAGGAAGAGAAACCAGUUGAAUGUGGUUUCUAACUCACCUGGUUCCUGGUGCCUGGAGCCAACACUCCACCUAUAGUCUUUGCUCAAGAAAUAUUUGUGGACAAGUGCCAAGUGACUGUUAACAUGGUAAGGACUGCUCCAGGGACAGUGUUAUCAUUUGGUCUCAUCUGGGAAGGCAAGCUGGAGCUGGGAAGAAUGAGGUGGGGAUGGGAGAAGCUACAGGAGAAAGCCCAGAGGUGGGAUUGAGCUUGGUGUGUUUGAGAAGCUAGGACCAGCGUCUUUCAGCUGGAAGGGAGUCAUUCAGGGGACUAGUGGAGAAACAAACUAUUAUAGAACCAAGAAGUGGGUGAAGCCAGGUUAUGAAAGCCUGCCCGAUUCCCUGCAUCCACUUCUAUCUUUAUCACUUUUUAAAAUUGAACAUUUUUAUUGAGAUAAUUGUAGGUUCACAUGCAGGUGUAGGAAAUAACACAGAGAGGUCCCUUGUAUGCUUUGUCCCGUUUGCCCCAAGGGUAGCAUUUUGCAAGACUACUGUGUAAUAUCACAAUCAGUAUAUCAACAUGUAUACAUUGAUUCAUGUCUCAAACACCUUGGGUAAUUAUUUGCCAUUUCAAAUUUUUAGUAAAGUUACUCUAAAAUUUUGAAAGAAAUGAACAAAUAUUAUUUUUAUAAAUUUAUUUAUUUUAUUUAUUUAUUUUUGGCUGCAUUGGGUCUUUGUUGCUGCGCUCAGGCUUUCUCUAGCUAUGGAGAGCGGGGGCUACUCUUCGUUGCCUUGCACGGCCUUCUCGUUGCAGUGGCUUCUCUUGUUGUGGAGCACGGGCUCUAGGGCACAUGGGCUUCAGUAGUUGUAGCACGUGGGCUCAGUUGCUCUGCGACAUGUGGGAUCUUCCCGGACCAGGGCUCGAACCCAUGUUCCCUGCAUGGGCAGGUGGAUUCUUAACCACUGCGCCACCAGGGAAGCCCAGAAAUGAACAAAGAUUAUGUUAAAGGGUUUUGGUCUCUUGUUUUAUUGGAACCAACUUUUUUUUAAAGGGGAAGAAUGUUUUAUUUUCCCAGUUAGAGCAUAAUGAGGGUCCAGAUUCUUCAUCUGUAAAAGACAGUCAGAAAUCUUUGGGACUUACCUCUGACUGUUCACUUCCCUGCCCUACCCAGUACUGUUGAAGGAACAUUUUGAGCAAUACUGUACAUGACUUCUUAGUUCUGAAAUCAGACAGGAUGCAGUGUUAACUAAUAUGCUAAACUAUGCCUAACCACUAAUGGGCCUUUCUCUCUCCUUGGACAUUGGAUGGGACUGCCACUGAGUGUCUCCCAGAGGGAAGUGAUUCAAGACAAAGACCCAUUCUGCCAGUGGGCUAUGCUGGGAAUACCAACUAUGCUUGUUACAGAAUGUGCACGGCGACUGCUGACCGGCCUUCCCGAUGCCAGCAAGAGGGUACAGAAGCAAUCUCCCAAGCUUUCCACAACAUUCAAGUGACCAGGCACUUUGACCCCCAUCUUAGGGGCUGCCCCAAAGAAGCUGUGUUCCUACCUCACUUGGUGCCCCUAAGCGGCAGUUCAGACACCAGAGGGUGUAUGACCCUUGUUGAAAUGGAUUUGUCAUAGACUCAACCAGAGCAUCAGUUCACACUUUCCCACUCUCGUCGCUACUUUUCACCAACGGCUUCAGAGAAAAGACGUCAGUAAGUGCUGGACUGAGGAUUAUUUUCUACUUAUAUUUGACCAGAGAAGAUGGGAAGCCCUAGGUGCUGAGGCUCACUGUGAUGCUGACCCCUUCAAACAACAACCUAGCUCUUCUUCUCUUCUUCCCUUUACCACCAAACAAGGAUGUCACCUCUUUUUUUUGGGGGGGGUAGGCGGGCCU